rnacentral:tRNA from 1 species
GAGACUGACAUUGAACUGCUAAUCCAAAAAACCGAGCUUAACACUUCGGCACUCUC